UAGUCAUUGGUGCCAGCCGCCGCGGUAAUACGUAUGGAGCAAGCGUUAUCCGGAUUUACUGGGUGUAAAGGGUGCGUAGGUGGCAGUGCAAGUCAGAUGUGAAAGGCCGGGGCUCAACCCCGGAGCUGCAUUUGAAACUGCUCGGCUAGAGUACAGGAGAGGCAGGCGGAAUUCCUAGUGUAGCGGUGAAAUGCGUAGAUAUUAGGAGGAACACCAGUGGCGAAGGCGGCCUGCUGGACUGUUACUGACACUGAGGCACGAAAGCGUGGGGAGCAAACAGG
rnacentral:rRNA from 1 species